ACAGUUGAUAGAGGCGCGGGAACGAUAAGUACUUUUCAGAGGGACACCGUUGAAGGAAAGGAAAGGCCAACCGCCGAAGUGGUCCGCUGGGUACAGGGGGCUGCUGGGAUGCCGGCUAACAGCGGGUAUACUGUCGCCAUUAUUUGGUGGAGCGCUAUCGGUAAU
rfam:Acidaminococcus intestini RyC-MR95, complete genome.